rnacentral:rRNA from 1 species
CCCUUAGAUGUUCUGGGCCGCACGCGUGCUACACUGAGUGGAUCAGCGGGUCAGGUUGCGCGAAAGUGUUUCCUAAUCUUUAAAUCCGCUCGUGAUGGGGAUUGACGGUUGCAAUUUUCCGUCAUGAACGAGGAAUACCUUGUAAGCGCGGGUCAUCAUCCCGCGCUGAAUACGUCCCUGCCCUUUGUACACACCGCCCGUCGCUCCUACCGAUUGAGUGGUCCGGUGAGGCUUUGGGAUCUGAGCGGAAAGAGCGUUUCGCUGUUUCUGACCGGAAAACUCAGUCGAACCUUAUCAUUUAGAGGAAGGAGAAGUCGUAACA